CCGCGUUCCCGCUGUACCCGGCUCCCGCUCCCGACGCCGCACGUCUAUCCCGCUUGGGUAACUCAUUCCACUUCGGAGUUCUUUUAAUUCUACGGAAAGAGUUCAGAUCCCCCAGAGGCCAAAAUGGAACACAGUAAGCAGAUUCGAAUUUUACUAUUGAACGAAAUGGAGAAGCUAGAGAAGACCCUCUUCAGACUUGAGCAAGGAUUUGAACUACAGUUCCGAUUAGGCCCAACUUUACAAGGAAAAGCUGUUACUGUUUAUACAAAUUACCCAUUUCCUGGAGAAGCAUUUAAUCGAGAAAAAUUCCGUUCCUUGGAUUGGGAAAACCCAACAGAGAGAGAAGAUG
rnacentral:lncRNA from 1 species